ensembl:lncRNA
GGGAUCUUGGUAUGCUCAGUCAGCCCUCUGCAGGGAGAAGGCUGUGGCACUUUUAAUAAAAUUAGAAACGAUGGUGUGAAAGGAGGCCCAUGGCACAGCCUCCUGCCCAAAGCAGGACUGCUGCCAGCAUGAAGCCUGUGUCUGUCUGAGCAUUCAGAGCCUCCAAGGGGAGAGCUGAUGUAAUCCUUGCCCCUGUUAUGAAGCCUUGGCCUCUCUUCUGUUGGACAGAAUUGUUCUUUGGAAAGUAGAAUAGAUGAUGAAAGCUCAGUGGGGGAACACAAGAGGUAGUUAUAAGAGGCUGAAGUAAAAGAAAGUCAAGAAUAUGAACAAUUCUGAGCUGGUGCUUGUGAUGCCUGGAGAAAAGCACUUGAUGCAAAAGUUGCAGAGAACUUUUUGCUUUCCUCAUUAAUGUAUCGAAGAAGGAGUUUUUACUCAAAGGACACGUACAAAGAAGUCAGGUUGCUUGUUCUGUGGAACACGGAGUCAGAGGAGCAGAUGAAGAAGAAAGAAGUGUGAGCUUGUGUGUGUGUGGAUUCAUCUUGCCAUGGAUCAGGAGUUCACCUUGUGAGAGCUCGUGUGGACAGCACCUCCCAGACAAAUGGAAAUUCCCAAAGACUGCACUUAUAAGAUUUUUGUUAACAGCACUAGAUUUUCCAAGGAGGCGGACCACAAGACCUCACCGCAUGGAGUCCUGUUUUACUUUGUAGUGCUAAUCUCAACCACUUUGUUCACCCACCUCUUACUUACACCUCCACCCAUGGUAAGGAUCAUAGAGUUGGAAGCGACACAUAAGGAUCAUCGAGUUCCAACUCCUGGCUCCACAUGGAACCACCCAAAAAUCAAACUCUGGAUGCUCCUUGAACUCUGGCAGCUUGGGGCCAUGACUACUGCCCUGAAGAACCUGUCCCAGCGCCCAGCCACCCUCUGGUGCAGAAUCUUUUCCCAAUAUCCAACAUGAAGAUGACAUAUCUUAACUGUUUCUUCCACGCAUCAUGUACUAUGUUUAAGCUCCAGGGAAACGGUGUGCUCCCAUAGUGCCAGCAGCACUAUUGGAGGGUGAAGUUAAGGCUGUGUCCUGUAAGAUGUCUGUAGCAAUCUAGGACUUUGAGCGCUUCUUAAGCCAGCCAGUCUGUUGGGAAAUACUUUUCCUCAUUGAUUGCUGCAGUUCAUUUGGAAAAGUUAAACAAAAUAGUGCAACCACUAUGAUGAAAAUGGCUUUGGUUAGAAUUGCCUUAAUUACAAUCCAGAAUUAUCCUGACGUUUACACAACUGUAAGUAAAAUCUGAAGUUUGCCAAGAUAGAUUAAUUUAGGAUAAAUGACCAUGCAACAGGUUCUGAUUUCAUUUCUGUUGGGAAAUCAACUAAUGCCAAGUUAGAUUAAACCUUGCCUCCAUGCUUGCCCUGUGCCAGCAUGAGAUAAAAAAUAUUCCUAGUACUCUUCCUCUGGGACCUACAAAUGAAUCUUGCAACAUCAGUGACACUGGCAUAGGCUGGUGCUGUGUACCACACAGAGAACACCAGACAAAGUCUGACCUUGCCCUGAGCAGUCCCAGAUGUGACCUUGUUUCUGAAAGCUCAUCUGUGUGUCUGUUUCUGUCUUGUGCCUCUGAUUUUAAUGCAUAUCCUCAGCAACUGUAUGCCAAAUGUGAAUGCGGACUCAUACUGAGAGUCAGGCAGCGUGCUUUGACCCGUAUGUUUGAUGAGUGGGUACAAACUGUGAUCAGGUUUUCCAAGUGAAAGCACUGCUGCCACAACCAUUUCCUGACAUUUGCUUACACAGUGUUUUCUUCCUUUCACCCUUCUAUUGCCUGGAACAAGUGCCACUGAUGUGAAAGCAAGUCUCCAUUUUAUUGACUAAAUGUUGUCCCAGAGUCCUUCUAACUUAUUCUUCUCUCAUUUUAAAGCCUUUCUUGUAUGAAUGCAACAUGUUAGUAACUCAUGAGUACACAGUGCCAUUAAUUUCCAGAAUUGAAAGUCUUCAUGCAAUUCAGAAGUCAGUAAUUUCCCGGAGAAUAUACGUUGUUUCACUCAUUUCCAUGAACUCAUGCUGAUUUAUAUCAAACUAGUGAGUAGAAACAAGAUACAGGUGAUUACUACUCUGGUAAAAUACAGGAAUGACUGUGAAUCAAGAAAAAUUUUUGUCUCCUUACACCUAUAAGGUGGCUUGCUGGUAGCCUUGAAGACAUUUUCUCCUUCAUUUAUGCAUCUACAAUGAUACAGUUCUCCUUGUUUUGCUUUGAUAGCGUGUCUGGCCAUGUUUUUAGUGCUGAAAACACGUGUAAGAAAACCUACUUGUUAAGUCAGACUGAAUUUACUGGACGUCGUCAAAACAAGAACUAAAUAAUAAAAGUGGAAUAGGUUGGGGGACUAAUUUCUGAAGUGGUUAGAUUUUUUGUGAUUGCAGUGAGUCAGUGGGCUGAGCUGUGAGAAUUAUUGGAGAUGUUUUCUCAAUGUGUGUGUGCGUGUCAGUUGCUUUACUAGAUCAGUCAGCGUUUAUAAAUCCACCUCCAGGUGGUGGAAUAAACAUGUAGCUCCGUGAUGAGAGUAUUAUUCUGGAAGCUUGAAAGCAACUACUGAUCUCAUUGGAUAUUAGACAGCUCUUCUGGCUUCGGGCUCAUUUGGGCUUUGAUUUGAGUACAGAAGAAGUGUGUCAUCUUAACAGUGUGCAAUAUUUUAAUGUAUUAUUUUGUGUUCAGUGUUUCUGGGAAAUGAAUGAAGAAACCCACCACUGUAUGCAUAAACAUUAUGGUGCCAUUUAUGCUCACUGGAAGACAGCCGGAUCUGAGGCUCUGCAGAGUGAGCUCUCCAUCAGCUGCAUCAGGUCAAGGCUCUGACAGCUUCAGUGGCUGCCACGGGUUCCUCUGGCUACCCCUGUCUGGGAUUUUGAGGCUUGAGUUUCUGCAAUUUAUAUUCACCACUGUAAAGUCAUCUCUACCACAGGUUCCCAGGGAUCCCUGGGAUGUCUUCACAAAGCACUGUACGCUCUUCCCUUCCAUAUAACUGAAGAAUCAGUUAGGAUGGAAAAGACUCAAAAGAUCGUCCACCCAUAACCAACCUAACACUACUAUGCUCACCACUAAACCAUGUCCCUAAGUGUCACAGGAUUUCAGCUCAAAGCCAAUGUCACAAAAUUUAAUGCAGGUUCUUAUGGAGGAAGAAGCUGAUUUUAUUGUACAAAAGCCUUGAACAGAAUAAUUCUGCCCCUCAGGCUCUCACACUCUCAGCUGUCAAAAUGCAUGCGUUCAGGUGGUCUGGCCAGAGUACAUGUGAAAUUGGAGGAUGAGGGAUCUGGCAUCUCUUUGUUGCCUGUUGUCUGGUUAAAACAAAACAGCUUACGGACAAACCUCAUAUAUACCGUAGGAAACAUCAUCUGCAAUAAGGUAGUUCCUUGGCUUGUUUUUUGCUUACCUCACCUGUCAUAAAUCUUGGAUCAAGUUACUCUCUCUACUGACUUUUCCCCCGUUGGAAAUAUAUAUACUUGAGUCAUGUAUCAGUGGCCUUUUCUUGUUGGUCUAAGAGGAAAAAAAAAAAAAAAAGAAGUAUUGAAGGGUUAUACAUGAUAUUUUGCAUCCAUCUUGCCAUCUUGCUGUUGUGAAGAUUACAGAGUCUUCUGCUGAAGGGUAGUCUGGGCUGUAGGGUAUUGAGAGCUGACCUGGCAGAAAGAACAUUCAUAAUAACUGUAAUGCUGCAUAUUGUUACUAAUUUCUGCAUUGAUUUAUGAGCACUGUCACAGCUCUUCCCGGAUUGCCUGUAAGCCUGAGAGGCAUCUUUGAGGUGAGAUGCUGCUAGUUCGAAAGAAGAAAAUAAAUCUCUGCUGCACUCUCCGGUUGCAUAUGCGUGCACUGCAAAUGUUACACUGGAGGUCUUUAAAAUCAUCACUAGAAGGACAAAGAAAACUUCACAUUGAAAAUGGCGAUUUAUAAGAAGAGUUAAUGAGAUAGAAAAAAACCAGAAGCUUCAUUUCUCCAUUUCCAGUAAAAGGAUGGCCCUUUUAAGACCCAGCACAAAGCCAGGAGAUUUUCACUGACUUAUUUGGGCCAAGCCUCUCUCAUUUUAGUGUAAAAGCUACCUGGUCUGAAGAAAAGGCCAAUAUAUCACAGAAUAUUCCUCAAUUCAG